rnacentral:rRNA from 1 species
CUUCCUUUCAUUCAGCUCGUCAGCUGGUCGACGCCGAGCCUCAAUGCUGUAGCAAUCACCGCCCUUGUUGAGCGAUGGAGGACGGAGACACACAGUUUCCAUCUUCGGACCAGGGAGAUGACCGUGAUGCUCCAGGAUAUCGCUAUGAUCGUCGGUCUUCCUAUCGAGGGAAAUCCUCUCUCUAUGAGCACCGAUUCUGAUGGGUGGUGCCAGAAAAUGGAGGCCCUUAUCGGUAUGUCUCCUCUAGAGCCUCUGAAACCAGAAGGAGACAAGAAGAAGGAAAGAGUCGCAAUCGCUGCUCCUUUCACUUUGGACAAUGCCCUGAUCAUGCUAGCAAUGAAGUGGUCCAGACAUGCGCUCGUGUCUACAUGUGGUACGUUAUCUCUAGGACUCUAUUUGCUGACGCCACGGGGCAAGAAUGCUCCAUCACUACAAAAGAAAUACACUUCCGUGAUGAUACGUGUUUGUCACAGUAGGUCGCGUUUUUUGUCAUGCAUGUACAUCCAUGACGAUUUUAUGACAGAAUCAAUAUAG